UACGUAGGCAGCGAGCGUUGUUCGGAUUUACUGGGCGUAAAGGGAGCGUAGGUGGUUAGGUAAGCCCUCCGGGAAAUCUUCAGGCUCAACCUGAAAAGGUCGGGGGGGACUGCCUAGCUAGAGGGCGGGAGAGGAGCGCGGAAUUCCCGGUGUAGCGGUGAAAUGCGUAGAGAUCGGGAGGAAGGCCGGUGGCGAAGGCGGGGCUCUGGAACGUUUCUGACACUGAGGCUCGAAAGCGUGGGGAGCAAACAGG
rnacentral:rRNA from 1 species